rnacentral:lncRNA from 1 species
AGAGCCACAGUGCUUCACCACCGUGAUGACGAUAAUGGUAUGUUAUCCUCCUUCUUCUUCUCUACUCCUUCUUUUCCUUCUUCUUCUUCUCCUUCUUCUUUUCUUCUUCUUCUCCUCUUCCUUCUCCUUCUCCUUCUCCUCCUCCUCCUUCUUCUUCUUUUUCUUCUCCUUCUCCUUCUCUUCUUGCUUCUUCUCUUUCUUCUUCUAUGUAGCUUAUUUUCCCCAACAUAGACAUAGACAUACUUAGCUAAUUG